GACAGAGGGUGCAAACGUUGCUCGGAAUUACUGGGCGUAAAGGGCGUGUAGGCGGGAAGGCAAGUCGGGCGUGAAAUCCCCAGGCUCAACCUGGGAACUGCACUCGAAACUGCCUUUCCUGAGUGUCGGAGAGGAAAGCGGAAUUCCUGGUGUAGAGGUGAAAUUCGUAGAUAUCAGGAGGAACACCAGUGGCGAAGGCGGCUUCUGGACGAAGUAACUGACGCUGAGACGCGAAAAGCGUGGGGGAGCAAACAGG
rnacentral:rRNA from 1 species